rnacentral:rRNA from 1 species
AUUGAACGCUGGCGGCAGGCCUAACACAUGCAAGUCGAGCGGAUGAAGGGAGCUUGCUCCUGGAUUCAGCGGCGGACGGGUGAGUAAUGCCUAGGAAUCUGCCUGGUAGUGGGGGAUAAUGUCCGGAAACGGGCGCUAAUACCGCAUACGUCCUGAGGGAGAAAGUGGGGGAUCUUCGGACCUCACGCUAUCAGAUGAGCCUAGGUCGGAUUAGCUAGUUGGUGGGGUAAAGGCCUACCAAGGCGACGAUCCGUAACUGGUCUGAGAGGAUGAUCAGUCACACUGGAACUGAGACACGGUCCAGACUCAUACGGGAGGCAGCAGUGGGGAAUAUUGGACAAUGGGCGAAAGCCUGAUCCAGCCAUGCCGCGUGUGUGAAGAAGGUCUUCGGAUUGUAAAGCACUUUAAGUUGGGAGGAAGGGCAGUAAGUUAAUACCUUGCUGUUUUGACGUUACCAACAGAAUAAGCACCGGCUAACUUCGUG